UACAGAGGGUGCAAGCAUUAAUCGGAUUUAUUGGGCGUAAAGAGCGCGUAGGCGGGUUUUUAAGUCAGAUGUGAAAUCCCGGGGCUCAACCCCGGAACAGCAUUUGAAACUGAAAAUCUUGAGGGUAGUCGGAGAAAAUGGAAUUCCACGUGUAGCGGUGAAAUGCGUAGAUAUGUGGAAGAACACCGGUGGCGAAGGCGAUUUUCUAGAUUAUUCCUGACGCUGAGGCGCGAAAGCAAGGGGAUCAAAC
rnacentral:rRNA from 1 species